CUGCGUGUUUGUUCAAUAGAAAUUCUGCAGAAUUCCCCACCCCUCUCAGUGUUGGCUAUAAAACCAGGAGUCUGCAGUCACCCUCAUCAUCGUCUGACUACACACACAGUCUGUGCAUCUUACCAGUCUGACAUCACCUGUGUACUUCUCAGUUUGACAUACAUUGGCUGUGGAUUCCACAUUCAGAAGCUGAAGCUUACAAGGGCCAUUGAACUCAACUUUGCAGUACUCUAACUUCAGCAUCAUGAGCAGGAACUUUCUGUCCACCAAUGAUGAGCUCCGUAAGGGGGACUUCCUGAUGUCUAACAACCAACAAUUCAAGGCUGUCUUUCAGGUAUAGAUUGCAA